CCCCUCUCAGGAUCGAAGCUGGAGAGUUUCUGGUACUCUACCAGUCUCAUCUUAGGGAGGCAGAGUCAAGCAGAGGCAUACCCAUUCCAUUCCUAGCUUGGGCAGUGCCUAGCGAGUAGAAGGCAAUCUGCUACAAGU